rnacentral:rRNA from 1 species
UACGAAGGGGGCUAGCGUUGCUCGGAAUCACUGGGCGUAAAGCGCACGUAGGCGGCUUGUUAAGUCGGGGGUGAAAUCCUGGAGCUCAACUCCAGAACUGCCUUCGAUACUGGCGAUCUUGAGUCCGGGAGAGGUGAGUGGAACUCCGAGUGUAGAGGUGAAAUUCGUAGAUAUUCGGAAGAACACCAGUGGCGAAGGCGGCUCACUGGCCCGGUACUGACGCUGAGGUGCGAAAGCUAGGGGAGCAAACGGG